rnacentral:rRNA from 1 species
GAUGAACGCUAGCGGCAGGCUUAACACAUGCAAGUCGAACGGCAGCACAGGUAGCAAUACUGGGUGGCGAGUGGCGCACGGGUGCGUAACGCGUAUGCAACCUACCUCUAUCUGGGAGAUAGCCCGAAGAAAUUCGGAUUAAUACCCCAUAAUAUAUGUCUUUCGCAUGUUAGACAUAUUAAAGCUUUGGCGGAUAGAGAUGGGCAUGCGUGACAUUAGCUAGUUGGUAAGGUAACGGCUUACCAAGGCUACGAUGUCUAGGGGGUCUGAGAGGAUUAUCCCCACACUGGUACUGAGACACGGACCAGACUCCUACGGGAGGCAGCAGUGAGGAAUAUUGGACAAUGGGCGAAAGCCUGAUCCAGCCAUGCCGCGUGCAGGAAGACGGCCCUAUGGGUUGUAAACUGCUUUUUAUAGUGGGAAAUAAACCUCCGAACGUGUUCGGAGCUGAAGGUACCAUACGAAUAAGGAUCGGCUAACUCCGUG